UACAGAGGUCUCAAGCGUUGUUCGGAUUCAUUGGGCGUAAAGGGUGCGUAGGUGGCGCGAUAAGUCGGGCGUGAAAUCUCGGAGCUUAACUCCGAAAUUGCAUUCGAUACUGCCGUGCUCGAGGACUGGAGAGGAGACUGGAAUUCAUGGUGUAGCAGUGAAAUGCGUAGAGAUCAUGAGGAAGACCAGUGGCGAAGGCGGGUCUCUGGACAGUUCCUGACACUGAGGCACGAAGGCCAGGGGAGCAAACGGG
rnacentral:rRNA from 1 species